AUGCAGCUCUGGUCGCUUGAGGGUGCCGAGGAGGCCCUCGGCGACCGGUGCCGGGUGGAUCGGCUCGACUCCCGAACCUACGAGCAAGACCACACGAAGACGUUCGGGUUGUGGGUCUGGGUGUGGGACGUCUCCCACAUCCUGACCAAGCGCGCCCUCUGGUUCAUCAAGCGUGGCGCCGGGAGGACCGAAGAGAUGUACGGCUUCUCCCCCCCAAGCCGUGACGUGGCCCCUCCUCCAUGGGUUCGGCGUCGCGACCUGCUCAUCCACGUCGACCGCGUCGAGGACUGG
rnacentral:rRNA from 1 species